GCCAUUGAUCUGUACCAUGGCUUUCCAAUAUUGGCAGGAUUCUUCUCCGUCCUAUCCCUUAGGCAGCCUAACAUCUUGUUUGCUUUUCUGGCUGUGGCUGCACCUUGAGGAGAAGUCUUCACGGAGCUGCACAGAGCUGCUAUCGGAGAGAUUAGUUAAUUUAUGACCCAGCAACGUCUCUGAGUAAAUCAGGCUACUCUUUCCAAUGUGCUUUCCCUUGCAUUGGUCUGCUGCCUGCUGACAGAAUGCUCGGUGGCAGAGAUGACAAUUCCCUGCAGUGUGCUUGGGAGGCCUUACUGAGGUCACAACUGAGAAUACCAAAUUCAGGACAAACUGCUGAGAAAGAGGGCAGACACCCCCCAAAGCUGGUGGUUAUUUUCCGAGAUGAUAUACCAAACCAGCAACACAAGUAAACUUCUGUCUCACCACACUGGCUAACAAGAAAUCAGAACUGCAGCCUCCUUGGGUAGUCCAGUCCUGGAUUCAACACCCAGACACUCAUAAUGAUGAGUGGUUAUUUAAAACCAAUUUCAUCAGCCAAAGGAUUCUUCUGAUCCCAAAGGACCGGCCACAUACCCAGGCCAAUGUAUAAUUCAGAUCUUGCCCAAUAAUCAUGCUGUUGCCACUCCUUUAGUAUCUGUUAUCUAAAGAUUUAAUUAUAAAAAGAAAGAUGAGAAUUAAAAUUGGUUAAAGGCUCAAAUUCACACAAUAAAUGCAACGUUCUUGGA